rnacentral:rRNA from 1 species
GUGUGACUGCGUACCUUUUGUAUAAUGGGUCAGCGACUUAUAUUCUGUAGCAAGGUUAACCGAAUAGGGGAGCCGAAGGGAAACCGAGUCUUAACUGGGCGUUAAGUUGCAGGGUAUAGACCCGAAACCCGGUGAUCUAGCCAUGGGCAGGUUGAAGGUUGGGUAACACUAACUGGAGGACCGAACCGACUAAUGUUGAAAAAUUAGCGGAUGACUUGUGGCUGGGGGUGAAAGGCCAAUCAAACCGGGAGAUAGCUGGUUCUCCCCGAAAGCUAUUUAGGUAGCGCCUCGUGAAUUCAUCUCCGGGGGUAGAGCACUGUUUCGGCAAGGGGGUCAUCCCGACUUACCAACCCGAUGCAAACUGCGAAUACCGGAGAAUGUUAUCACGGGAGACACACGGCGGGUGCUAACGUCCGUCGUGAAGAGGGAAACAACCCAGACCGCCAGCUAAGGUCCCAAAGUCAUGGUUAAGUGGGAAACGAUGUGGGAAGGCCCAGACAGCCAGGAUGUUGGCUUAGAAGCAGCCAUCAUUUAAAGAAAGCGUAAUAGCUCACUGGUCGAGUCGGCCUGCGCGGAAGAUGUAACGGGGCUAAACCAUGCACCGAAGCUGCGGCAGCGACGCUUAUGCGUUGUUGGGUAGGGGAGCGUUCUGUAAGCCUGUGAAGGUGUGCUGUGAGGCAUGCUGGAGGUAUCAGAAGUGCGAAUGCUGACAUAAGUAACGAUAAAGCGGGUGAAAAGCCCGCUCGCCGGAAGACCAAGGGUUCCUGUCCAACGUUAAUCGGGGCAGGGUGAGUCGACCCCUAAGGCGAGGCCGAAAGGCGUAGUCGAUGGGAAACAGGUUAAUAUUCCUGUACUUGGUGUUACUGCGAAGGGGGGACGGAGAAGGCUAUGUUGGCCGGGCGACGGUUGUCCCGGUUUAAGCGUGUAGGCUGGUUUUCCAGGCAAAUCCGGAAAAUCAAGGCUGAGGCGUGAUGACGAGGCACUACGGUGCUGAAGCAACAAAUGCCCUGCUUCCAGGAAAAGCCUCUAAGCAUCAGGUAACAUCAAAUCGUACCCCAAACCGACACAGGUGGUCAGGUAGAGAAUACCAAGGCGCUUGAGAGAACUCGGGUGAAGGAACUAGGCAAAAUGGUGCCGUAACUUCGGGAGAAGGCACGCUGAUAUGUAGGUGAAGUCCCUCGCGGAUGGAGCUGAAAUCAGUCGAAGAUACCAGCUGGCUGCAACUGUUUAUUAAAAACACAGCACUGUGCAAACACGAAAGUGGACGUAUACGGUGUGACGCCUGCCCGGUGCCGGAAGGUUAAUUGAUGGGGUCAGCGCAAGCGAAGCUCUUGAUCGAAGCCCCGGUAAACGGCGGCCGUAACUAUAACGGUCCUAAGGUAGCGAAAUUCCUUGUCGGGUAAGUUCCGACCUGCACGAAUGGCGUAAUGAUGGCCAGGCUGUCUCCACCCGAGACUCAGUGAAAUUGAACUCGCUGUGAAGAUGCAGUGUACCCGCGGCAAGACGGAAAGACCCCGUGAACCUUUACUAUAGCUUGACACUGAACAUUGAGCCUUGAUGUGUAGGAUAGGUGGGAGGCUUUGAAGUGUGGACGCCAGUCUGCAUGGAGCCGACCUUGAAAUACCACCCUUUAAUGUUUGAUGUUCUAACGUUGACCCGUAAUCCGGGUUGCGGACAGUGUCUGGUGGGUAGUUUGACUGGGGCGGUCUCCUCCUAAAGAGUAACGGAGGAGCACGAAGGUUGGCUAAUCCUGGUCGGACAUCAGGAGGUUAGUGCAAUGGCAUAAGCCAGCUUGACUGCGAGCGUGACGGCGCGAGCAGGUGCGAAAGCAGGUCAUAGUGAUCCGGUGGUUCUGAA